AACGAACGCUGGCGGCAGGCUUAACACAUGCAAGUCGAACGCAUCCUUCGGGGUGAGUGGCAGACGGGUGAGUAACGCGUGGGAACGUGCCCUUAGGUUCGGAACAACACAGGGAAACUUGUGCUAAUACCGGAUGUGCCCUUCGGGGGAAAGAUUUAUCGCCUUUGGAGCGGCCCGCGUCUGAUUAGCUAGUUGGUGAGGUAAAGGCUCACCAAGGCUACGAUCAGUAGCUGGUCUGAGAGGAUGGCCAGCCACAUUGGGACUGAGACACGGCCCAAACUCCUACGGGAGGCAGCAGUGGGGAAUCUUGCGCAAUGGACGAAAGCCUGACGCAGCCAUGCCGCGUGGAUGAUGAAGGUCUUAGGAUUGUAAAGCUCUUUUACCCGGGAUGAUAAUGACAGUACCGGGAGAAUAAGCUCCGGCUAACUUCGUGCCAGCCGCCGCGGUAA
rnacentral:rRNA from 1 species